rnacentral:misc_RNA from 1 species
AUUGCCAUAAAUCGUUGAAAAGUUCCCUCGACUAUCUUUCGUCUCCAUCAUCAGACUUUAAUGGCACUUGUAACUCAUAUAGGUGCAAAGUUCUCAUCAAUAGAAACGAAUUAAGUUCAAACAGCAGGUAAUUGCUGUAAGUCGUUGAAGAGUACCCUCGACUAUCUUUCGUCUCCAUCAUCAGACUGAAAUGGCACUUAUAACUCAUAUAUUUGCAAAGUUCUCAUCAAUAGAAACGAAUUAAGUUCAAACAGCAGGUAAUUGCUAUAAAUUGUUGAAGAGUUCCCUCGAUUAUCUUUCUUCUCCAUCAUCAAAUCGACUCCAGACCUUUAUUAAAUAGUAGUGCUUUAUAGUACUUAAUGAAAACAUGAUUAAAUUUACUAGUCAUCCUUACGAUUUUUGAAAGUUCCCCUCGAUUUCUCUGGGAUCCCAUCAUCAGAUCCUGGUUUCCUUAUCAUGGUACCAAACUAUGAAUAUCUCCUUUCCAACAAAAAAAGAAUUAUCAAAAUCGGUUCAUAAACGAAGAAGUUAUCUCCGAACAUACAUAAAAA